rnacentral:lncRNA from 1 species
UUCAUUUGCUCCAUAUAAUUCUGCUUCACCUUUGCUUGCAGAUCUUUCUACUGGAAGUCAGCAGAAUGCCUCUGUCUGGAGAAAUGUGUGUUGACCAAAGGGAAAGAUUGGCUCAAGUGAGAACCGUGAUGGCUACCAGCAUCAGCUCCCUAGAUACUCUCAAAGCAAGGCCAGGCCCUAUUCAGGAAGCAGACGCAUUUUUCCUCAACUCUCCUAUUCAGGCAUUAACAGUGUGUAAAUGCAAUGUAAGCGCAACCUACAACAGCACGAAGUUAGCAGAAGGAAAAUGGACUCAGGAGCCUAGCAAAAGAAGGGAGCCUACAAAAAAAGCAAACAAGGGAAAAAUAAAAGGAAAUAUAGCAUCAUAUAUCAUGCAUGGUGAGGUGAGACCCUUAGAGGGUUGAAUCAUUCAGAUAAUGUGUUAUCAUCAGGGUUUGGCCUCUGUGGUUGAUGGCUCAGCCUUGGCAACUGCCCCGGGGGAAGCUGCCUGCCCCAGCCUCUUAGAGAACAGUCUCACAAGCCCUGAUUGAAGACCUCAUCAGCCACUUUUGUUCAGUCCUGGGUGACCACGCAAGACAUGUUUAGAUUUUUGCUGCUUCUUUAAAUAACCAAAUAGAAGUCUGUAUUUGUCCUUAAAGAAAACAUUCAAAACCCACCCCACCAAUAUCAGAGUGACUCUCUUGUUCUGUGGAAAUUUACAGAACAGCAGCACAAGAAAAUCCCUCGGAAAUAAAAGCAUGUAAAAAAAGAUGGAAAACUGAAUU